rnacentral:rRNA from 1 species
AGAGUUUGAUCCUGGCUCAGGACGAACGCUGGCGGCGUGCUUAACACAUGCAAGUCGAACGGUGAAGGUGGAGCUUGCUCUACCGGAUCAGUGGCGAACGGGUGAGUAACACGUGGGCAACCUGCCCCAGACUUCGGGAUAACUCCUCGAAAGAGGCGCUAAUACCGAAUACGAACUUCUUGGACAUCCAGGGAGUUGGAAAGUUUUUCGGUCUGGGAUGGGCCCGCGGCCUAUCAGCUUGUUGGUGAGGUAAAGGCUCACCAAGGCGACGACGGGUAGCCGGCCUGAGAGGGCGACCGGCCACACUGGGACUGAGACACGGCCCAGACUCCUACGGGAGGCAGCAGUGGGGAAUAUUGCGCAAUGGGCGAAAGCCUGACGCAGCAACGCCGCGUGAGGGAUGACGGCCUUCGGGUUGUAAACCUCUUUCAGCAGGGAAGAAGCGAAAGUGACGGUACCUGCAGAAGAAGCACCGGCUAACUACGUGCCAGCAGCCGCGGUAAUACGUAGGGUGCAAGCGUUGUCCGGAUUUAUUGGGCGUAAAGAGCUCGUAGGCGGUUAGUCACGUCGGAUGUGAAAUCCCAGAGCUUAACUCUGGGCCUGCAUACGAUACGGGCUGACUCGAGUGUUGUAGGGGAGACUGGAACUCCUGGUGUAGCGGUGAAAUGCGCAGAUAUCAGGAAGAACACCGGUGGCGA